AUAGAAUCUCUGCUAGGGUCUCUAGGGCAGGACUGAGGGUGGAAUUUGGAGUUUCAAGGUAUCAGUGCCAAAGCAGAAUAGUAGCUAAUAGUCACUGCAAAGGAAGAAAAGCGAAAGCACACAAUGAAAACAGACUGGGUUCGAGGUGAAUAAUGUAGCUGAGGAGUUAACUACAUUCAUUUCAAGAAGUUUGUCCCAGUGGGGAUCCUGUAAAGAGUGUGGCGGUGCGAGAUGGAGUCAGAAAGGAAAAGGGAGGAAAAGGGGAAGGAGAAAAUGGAGUUGCUCCUGAAUGAACUCUUAUUUGAAUCUACAUUAGAAGAUGACUUUGUGUUUUUGAGGGAAGCAGCUAUAAAACACUUGGCGAUGACAAGAUUUUGAACCAGCUAAGCCUGAGAGCCUGCAAAGCUUGUGAAUAUUCUUGCAACUUCAUUUCAUUGCAUUACUGGGCCUAUAUUUCUGAACUUCUUUCUACUAUCACUGCUGCUGACUAUUUCUCCAGCUUGCUGAAUCCUGACCAGCACAACCCCUGAAGGAUGAAAAUUGCAGGAUGGUGUCCCUUUCCUGGGGCAUUAUGUAUGCCAAAUUGCAGACAAAGCACUGCAGGAGGUUAUGUGCAGCAACACCUGAAGGUCUAAGCCUACAGAAGAACGGGCCCUGCUGAAGGAGAGCCAGUAUGGCUUCUACAAAGGAAGAGGAGAGAAAAACCAGUAUGAUGCCAGUUUGCUUCCCAAUCUCUACAGGCUUUCUGGGGAGUGCCUGGCUGUGCUGCCCUAAGAACCUGCCCAGAAUCUGCUGCCUGAAGCAACUCACUUCACCUUACCUAAUGAUAGGGCUGGCUCCGACUUCUAGUCAGCCUUCAUUUAUGUCCACUCAUUCUUCUACUUUUGAAAUUAGAUUUUAAACUUCAAGAUUUCAUGUCAAUUGAUGGCACUUUGUAAACAAAUAACAGUGGUAAUGAUGCUAAUUCCUUGGUAUAGCAUGUGAAAUACAAAUCAAGAUGGGUUUCUCCAUCUUUUCAAAUUUACACUUUAAAAUAGAUUUGUCUUUACACUAGAUGUAAAUAAACUUUUGU